AUGGAUCGAACUGGCAACCUCUGCGUAACUCAAAAAUCGAUUUGCACCAAGCUGUACACUGGUACUACGGGUGAAAACAGGAGAACCGUUUCCCUCCUGCUCGGCAAGGAGGAGAGAGAGGCCACGCCCAUCAGUGAAGGCGUGGAGCGGUUGGAGCUGGCGCACAUCAAACUAGAGGCCGCACUCGAGGCAUCUUGCAAGUGGUCAAUCGUAGACGCGUCCUUGGUGCGUUGGCGCAAGAUGCUGAAGCGGGCUGCCGACGAGUGUGACGGAGAACUGCAAAGAUGUCGCCGACGCGCCAUGGAAAGGCAGGAAACCGACGAGGAGGUAAUGAACUCCUCCUUCCCUAGGUGGAUCACUCAUGCUACCAUGUCAUACAUAUCCUCUCGAGUUGAGAGCAAAGAACCACCAUGGCUUGCAGGCAGAGCAGAGUAA
rnacentral:rRNA from 1 species